rnacentral:rRNA from 1 species
GAUGAACGCUGGCGGCGUGCUUAACACAUGCAAGUCGAACGGAAAGGCCCUGCUUUUGUGGGGUGCUCGAGUGGCGAACGGGUGAGUAACACGUGAGUAUCCUGCCCUUGACUUUGGGAUAACUUCAGGGAACUGGGGCUAAUACCGGAUAGGAGAUCCUGCUGCAUGGUGGGGGUUGGAAAGUUUCGGCGGUUGGGGCUGGACUCGCGGCUUCUUAGCUUGUUGGUGUGGUAGUGGCUUACCAAGGCUUGGACGGGUAGCCGACCUGAGAGGGUGACCGGCCACACUGGAACUGAGACACGGUCCAGAGUCCUACGGGAGGCAGCAGUAGGGAAGCUUCCGCAAUGGGCGAAAGCCUGACGGAGCAACGCCGCGUGAGUGAUGAAGGUCUUCGGAUCGUAAAACUCUGUUAUCAGGGAAGAACAAAUGUGUAAGUAACUGUGCACGUCUUGACGGUACCUGAUCAGAAAGCCACGGCUAACUACGUG